UACAGCCACAUCACGUUGUAACACUGUUUCCCGUACGAUCACCAAAGUUAAGCAACGUCGGACCUGGUCAGUAUCUAGAUGGGUAAUUACUUGGGAAUACCAGGUGCUGUAAG